rnacentral:ncRNA from 1 species
CACUGUCCAUCAACUGAUAAACUAAUUGUGAUAUGAACGUCCGGGAGAAACUGACUCAGCCAUGAUACAAAAUGAAUACUAAUGCACAGUACAACACAAAUGAACCUUGAAAACAUUAUUCUAAGGGAAGAAGUCAGACACAAAAAGUGAUAGCUGUAUUGUCUGAUUCCACUUACAUGAAAUACCUACAAUAGGUAAAUCAUGAAGGCAGAAAGGAGAUGGAUGGCUUUCAGAGUUUGGAGGCAGAGAAAAUGAGGAAUGUUUAUUUAACAGGUAUGGGUUUUUCCUUCAGGUAAUGAAAUGUUUGGGAGCGAGAUGAAAGUGGUUGCAUAAUGUGGUGAACAUAUCAAAAGCUACUGGAUUAUUCACAUUAAAAUGGUUCAUUUUACAAAGGCCUGCGGUGAGUGUUGACACAAUGUGAUUUCUGCCCAGUGUUCUGAAUGACAGCGUGAAGAAAUUAAAUGACGAGCGGGUACGUGCUGGUAGUAACCAUGACUCUCAUAUGGUAGCCAGAAGUCUCAUCAGCUAAUUAGUAAUGCAUAUAAGCGGAUGAAUGAGAUUUCCACUACCCCCACUAUUAUCCAGUGAAACCACAGCCUGACAGAAUAAGUGACAGGCUU